UGGGGAAUUUUGGACAAUGGGGGAAACCCUGAUCCAGCCAUGCCGCGUGAGUGAAGAAGGCCUUCGGGUUGUAAAGCUCUUUUGGCCGGAAAGAAAAGGCCACGGAUAACACCCGUGGUUCUUGACGGUACCGGCAGAAUAAGCACCGGCUAACUACGUGCCAGCAGCCGCGGUAAUACGUAGGGUGCGAGCGUUAAUCGGAAUUACUGGGCGUAAAGCGUGCGUAGGCGGUCCCGCAAGUCCGCUGUGAAAGCCCCGGGCUUAACCUGGGAACUGCAGUGGAAACUAUGGGACUUGAAUCCGGCAGAGGGGGGUGGAAUGCCACGUGUAGCAGUGAAAUGCGUAGAGAUGUGGCGGAACACCGAUGGCGAAGGCAGCCCCCUGGGCUGAGAUUGACGCUCAGGCACGAAAGCGUGGGGAGCAAAC
rnacentral:rRNA from 1 species